rnacentral:rRNA from 1 species
CCUACGGGAGGCAGCAGUAGGGAAUCUUCCACAAUGGGCGAAAGCCUGAUGGAGCAACGCCGCGUGCGUGAAGAAGGCCUUCGGAUCGUAAAACUCUGUUGUUAGAGAAGAAAGUGCGUGAGAGUAACUGUUCACGUUUCGACGGUAUCUAUCCAGAACGCCACGGCUAACUACGUCCGAGCAGCCGCGGUAAUACGUAGGUGGCAAGCGUUAUCCGGAUUUGUUGGGCGUAAAGGGAACGCAGGCGGUCUUUUAAGUCUGAUGUGAAAGGCCUGGGCUUAACCGGUGAAGUGCAUUGAAUACUGGUGGACUAGAGUGUAGAUGAGGAGAGUGGAACUCAAGGUGUAGCGGUGAAAUGCGUAGAGAUAUUGAAGAACACCAGUGGCGAAAGCGGCUCUCUGGUCUGUAACUGACGCUGAGGUUCGAAAGCGUGGGUAGCAAACAGGAUUAGAUACCCUAGUAGUC